GACAGAGGGUGCAAACGUUGUUCGGAAUUACUGGGCGUAAAGCGCGUGUAGGCGGCUAAGUAAGUCGGGCGUGAAAUCCCACGGCUCAACCGUGGAAGUGCACUCGAAACUGCAUAGCUAGAGUCCUGGAGAGGAAGGUGGAAUGCUCGGUGUAGAGGUGAAAUUCGUAGAUAUCAAGCGGAACACCGGUGGCGAAGGCGGCCUUCUGGACAGUGACUGACGCUGAGACGCGAAAGCGUGGGGGAGCAAACAGG
rnacentral:rRNA from 1 species